rnacentral:lncRNA from 1 species
GGGAGUUCUGUAACAGUUUCUUCUGCAUGGCGCAGAGCUCCGAUUUUUCCGCAACAGUAUCUCCCUGGAAGCUGCACAAAGCCCCCUUUGAUUGCCUGUGAUCAAAGCCAUGCAGGCACUUCGGCAAUAUCUGAGCUUCAGAAAGCCAGGAAAAUCAGAAUGUUGAGAGUAUAUUAAUAAUUCCUAAGCACAUUUUGAAGGUGAGUGGUACUUCUGAGGAAACUUCAUCAUGACUAAAAAUGAUUUGUUUCUGCCCUUCAUGCUGCACACCUGGGAAAAAAAAGUUAGCCUUAAUGCUCCGAUUAGUAAGUUGCAUGUCAUGGUGGAUGUUGAACAAUAUGGUCAGUUGUUCUACUCAAAAUUUAUGCAGCUGAUCAUACAGGGCCAGAGAGGAGUCGGUGAUGGAGUCUCUCAGAUGUUCAGACAUCUUAAUAUGAAUUAGUAUGCAGCAGCUGACCAAGGAGAGUUUGUAUUUUUUAAAAAGGCAGCAAGCUAAAUAAAUAAAUAAUUGGUAUGUGUGGGGAGGGAAACGUAUUUUAAAGUCAGAGAACCUGCUUAUGUAUGGCAACCGUGCAAUUUAUUAUUUGUGUAUUUCACUAAAUUAUUUAACUUCUCUGAGUUUCAAUUCCUUAUCGGUAAAAUAAAACCUAAUCCGUAAGGUUGCAAUAAAGUUAAAAAGGUGAAACAUUUAGGAAACGUAUACAUUUCCACUUACCACAUAAAGUACAUAAUGUGACUUGUGAAGUUUUUUUAAUCAUUUUUACUAUUUAUUUAUGUUUAUUUAGCCUUUUCAUGAAUAUCAGUAGGAGAGGCAGUAGAGGGGUAUUAGUGGAAGUGGUUGUGGUGAUAAGAGCUACAAAAUUGUUUUGUAGUCAUGUAAUUUCAUAAAUAGUGAAGAAUUGGUAGAGGAACUAACUGGGGAGAAGAUUGGGAUUUUCUGGUACAAUUAAAAUAUGUAUGACCAUUCUUAGUAGAAUGGAUGAACUAGUCGCCCAGAGUAUUUUUUAAUUCCUUUCUCCUUCCCUCUCUCCCCCGUUUUUCCUUCCUUCCUACUUUUCCUCCCUCUGCUCCUGCCUCCCUUCUCCCUUCUUUCCUUCUUUUCUUCAUUCUUUCUGGACCCACUCUGCAUUGACAAACUCCAAACUCCAGGGCAGUCGAAAGAAAUGAUAAGCCAACCACAACAGUAGAGGUAUCACUGUGGAGCACAACUGUAUCAACGGUGACCUCAGGAGGCACCUACUGAGGAUGAAGGAAGUAGUUAUUUUCUCUGGGAUUAUGAAGUCUUGAGGCUCAUACUGGGGGCACUUGCAGGGAUGUAUAGACAAAAUAUGCCCCCAAACUUGUCCUGGGUUAUUGCUUGCUGAAGCAAAUAUUCUUCUAAACGUAGAACCCCAGACAAUAUGGUCCAAAUUCUCCCAGUUUUUCUGACCAGAGUAGGUGGUGAGAGAGCAGAAAGAAAGAAUGGGGGGAGCAAAAAUUGGAGACUGUUGGAAAGUCAAGGUCUUACAGCGUCUCAGAAGGAGACGGAAACCUUGUGUUAGUGACACAGAUUUCAAAUAAGAUCAGUUUAGUAAGAAAGCUUCCUCUUACUCCCCCACCCUAAAUUCGGCCUUUUUCACAUCACUAAUUCUUAUACCACCUAUCUCUCAUUCAGUAAUCAGAACCAAGAUGGUGACACUGGACCCGUCUUCCAGCUCACCUCUCGCAAGUUGCCUCUAGGAACCACUUUCCCCCUCAAAAUUGCUCUUAAGGCUGAAGGUUUAUCAGAACUUUAUCUCUGUCAGCUGGAGUAGGGAAUGAAUAUUUGUUAUUAGUCAUUUCUCAGUAAUGUCCUGGGUCACUUGAGAAUUCUCAACGGUAUGCCCUAGAUGCCUUUAUUUCUUCCAGUCACAUAGCAGCUCUGCGAAUGCUUCAGUCUAACCCACCCUGUCAACCUGUUUUGUCCAGGAAGGUUUUUACUACAAUGAGAGGGAAUCUCUGGGUAUAACCUGAUAGGUACUGGUGCAUCCUGAUUUUUGCAUAGGCUACACACAAUCUGACCAGUUUAUUUAGUGACAUUUUUUCCCCCUGAGUUUAUUUAUUUAUUGAGAGAGACAAAGAGAGAGAGAGAGGAGAGAAAGCCGGGGAGGGGCAGAGAGAGAGGGAGAGAGAAUCCCAGCGAGGCUCCAAGCUCUCAGUGCGGAGCCCAGUGCAGGCUCAAACCCACAGUCUGUGAGAUCAUGACCUGAGCUAUAAAACUAAGAAAUGGACGCUUGCCCGACUAAGCUACCCAGGCACCCUUAUUUAGUGACCUUUUAAUGAGCAUAUGCCUUAUGACUAUUCUCCUUACUUCCCAAGUUUUCACUGAAAGAGCCAGCUGCCCUCCCUACCUGUUGGCAACACAUUCACAGAGUUAAUGAGCACAGGUGCACACGGCAAUGCACCUCACCAUUUUCUUUGCUUCCAAAUAUGGCUGGUGUAUAUUGUCUCGGUUAUAGAAAAUCAAAAUUAAAAUGGUAAGUCUUUAUAGCAUUGGCAAGAGACAAUAACCACUACAGCUAGGGCUUUUCUGAGAAAUCCGUCAUGACUCCAAGGUCUCUUUAGGUUAAAGAAGAUGCUGAUUUUUCUCAAUCACGGCCUUCAUUUGUUCUAACCCAAAUUCGGUUCUGUUAGCAUCUAUUCAAACACCAAUUCUUAUCACAUUUUUUUCAAGCUUAUUUAUUUAUUUUGAGAAUGAAGGAAGCUGCAGAGAGAGGAGAGAAUGAAUCCCAAGCAGUCUCUGCACCAUCAGCACAGAGCCUGACAUGGGGUUUGAACUCAAGAAUCAUGAGAUGAUGACCUGAGCCAAAGUCAAGAGUCAGAUGCAUAACGGAUUGAGUUACCUGGGUACCCCUCUCAUCACUUUUUAAAAACAUUCUUCUGGCUUUGUUUUCAGACUGAUUUUUUUUUUUUAACUUUUCUUUGACUGCACUGAUGUCACAAUUGGAUUUCAAUUACCAAGGAUCCUGGUCCAGAAAUGUUCAGUUCUUCCCUAAUAAAUUAGAUAGGUUCAUUGUCGCAGAACUUUUCUUGCAGGGACAUUUGACUUUAUUAUCUUCUUGAUCUCUUUGGGCUUUUAAUUUUUCAGUAAAUUGUGAUCUGGUAACUUCCAUGAGACAAGGUCGGGGCUACAGAGAGCUGUUACUUUGCUUUCAUUAGCAUAUGUCUGAACAUUUGACCUGGAAUCAUAUCCUUUUCCAUUAGUUUUUCCCAUUUGGUCAUUUUACCCCUAAUUUAACUCUUUAUAAGAAUAAACAACUUUAUUUUGUUGAGGUAGAUAAUCAGGAAAUUGUGCUUUGUGGUUAUAUGUCGUGAGCCCAAAGAACAUGUGAGAAUUUAUUGAAGAGAAAAUCUGUUCCUUGUCUUCAAGAAGCUUACCAUUGCCUAAAAAAAGAGCUUAAAAAUACUGUACAAAGCAAAGUCAAAGAAAAAUCAUAUGUGUGUCAUGCAUCUGUUACUGAACAGUAACAGGGAAAGAGAUUUCGUAAAGGAUUGGAAAAGGUGGGAGCAGAGGACUGUGCACAAGGGCGGUCAGACAAGUUCAUAUUUCAUACGACAGUCUGCUCUCGUUCCUGUGUGGAGAGCUUGAAAUAUAGUGUGCAGAACAUGCUAUGUUCUUGUUAGAGGAUAACAUGAUAGAGGCAAGAGCUCUGUCUGUGGUGAGUGUGUGUGUGUGUGUGUGUGUGUGUGUGUGUGUGUGUUGUGUGCUUUAUGCAUUUACAAGCUCUCUUCUUUCAUUCAUUCUUAUUGGAAAAGAAUAGUGCCCCAGAGUAUAAGCUAAUAACAGCUUCAUAAUAUAAAUUGUCUAGUGCAAUGUAAGAAAUGAAUAUCCUUUUCUCCAUUAAUGAUAAAAUAUACUUUGAUUAAAACAAAAUUCUUCAUCUGCAUUACACAAAUACUUAAGAGGUAAUUAAUGGGAAGAUUUUUUUUUCCUCCCAGGAAAAUCAAUUGUAUAUUUGGCUAGCUCAGCUUCCUGUCAAGAAGAUGUCUUAACUCUCCACGCACAAAAUGUCUUAGAGGCAAACAGUACGCUCAUGACAUGAAAACUACGCUGGCGUCCACAUGGGUCCCUCCACAGACAGUAGGCCAGCUUAGCAAAGGCCUCUGGUAUAGACAAACUUUUCAUUACUGUCAAUUACCGUAAUAUUGUCCCUAAAAAAAAAACACAGAGUAUUUUACCAAGUCCCAAAUAGCUUCAGGGCAGGAAAGCAAAGUGGGAAUAAAAAGUAGAAAAGAAAUCACUCACUCUGUUCGAGAGUGUAAAAACAUAUGUCGGCAGGCUAUUUUUUAAACAAGUGCCUUUAAAAGUAACUCCUUUGUUUUACUAAACAAAAUAGAAACUUUUGAUUUCGUGUACAGGUGUGGAAAAGUUUGUAGGUGAGCAGUAGGAAGAAUGGGGCAAAAUUCUGUGUGCUGAAUGGAUAAUUAGGUAACUUGUUCACGAGCACAGAUGCAUAUAGAUGUAGUAUCGUACGUACAUUGAGUAAAAUCCACCCAGAUCUGGACAUAUAUAAAAUCUAAAUAAACCAUAAAAAGAGGUUCAGAUCCUUCUUCUCAAGAAGGAAAAGCCCUUCAGAGUCAGUUACACUUUGCAGGAUAAGCUGACUCAUUACCACAACUGUAGGAUGCAGACAAAUAUUAGGUCUUCAGAUCCUGGCUCUGAUAUGGUGACAUCUCUAUGUGCAAAUGUGUCUACAUAGUAAAAUAUUCAGAAUAAAUCAUCUCUCCUGUGUACUUAUAUGCCAAUCAAUUAUGCAGGCAUAUGAAAGCUCUUACAAAUGGACUUUGUUCACAUGGAUUACUCCAUAUCAAUGAAUUGAAGCAGAGAAGUGGAUAGCCCAUUCAAUGGAAAAGUCCAAAGUAACUGAUGUGUGGCUUUGUAAUGUACCUAGACAGAGAUGAUCAGACAUUUGCAUCAUGCCUACUGAAAGAGACUAAGGUCUCAGGUAGGAGACCAAGAUUGUAGAAGAAAAACCUCAACUUCCUAUAUAAAAUGUAUGUAAAAUAGAUUUGAUUUGAUUUUUAAAUUUUAAAUUUUAUUUAUUUGAGAAAGAGAAAGAAAGAGCAGGGGAGAGGGGCAGAGGGGGAGAGAGAGAGAGAGAGAGAGAGAGAGAGGGAGAGAAUCCUAGGCAGGCUCCAUGCUCAGUGCAGAGCCUGAUGUGGGGCUUGAUCCCAUGACCCUGGGAUCAUGACCUGAGCUGAAAUCAAGAGUUGGAGACUGAGCCACCCAGGUGCUCCUGUAAAAUAGAUUUUAGAACUAAGCAGGCAAAAUUUGAAAGCUUGAUUACUACAGUUUGUUCUAGUUACACAAUCUUUCAGAUCCCAGAACCAUAGUUUUCCCACUUGCGAAACUGGGAUAAUUCCAAAACUGUGAGAUUUCUGGGAGGAGCAAAUAAAAAAGCACAUGCCUGCCCCGGAGUAGUGUGAAGUCACUUUUAUAUGUCAACUUGGCUAGGUUAUUCAACUAUUCAAUCAGCUAUUCAAUCAAGUACAAACCUAAGUACUCAGCUAUUCAAUCAAGUACAAACCUAAGUGUUGCUAUAAACGUACUCUGUGGACAUUUAGCAUCUACAGUCAUAAUAAGUAAAGGAGGUUAUCUUCCAUAACCUGGGUAGAGACUGACUCAAUCAGUUGAAAAGAUUUAAGAACAGAACUGAGGUUUCCCUGAGGAAGCAGAAAUUCUGACCAUAGAUUCAGUGCCAGUCCCUGCCUGAGUUUCCAUCCUAAGUUUCUCUGUCUCUGUCCCUGUCUCUGUCCCAGCCUGCCUAGGAUUCUCUCUCUCUCUCUCUCUCUCUCCUUCCCUCCCUCCCUCUGCCCCUCUCCCCUGCUCUUUUUCUGAUCUAUCUACCAUCUAUAUUUAUUACGGUUCUUUCAUAGACUCCUGACUGAUACAAAUAGGAACCCCUAAAUGUUACUUCUAAUUCAAAAAUGACGGUAUGUAUUUGAAGAUAUAAAUCCUGUAUUUCUAUCACACUAUAGUGGUGUGAUAAAAGUAAAUAUACGUUUUUUUCUUCUCACCUUACUUUCUGCUCACCUUACUAUAUGACAUUAGAGGAGAAUGGAACUGUUCCUUGAAGUUCUCUCCAAGUCCUUUUCUGUUAGUGCAUAGUUAGCAUGGAUUCACUGGUUUAAAAAAUAAUCAUCGUGUAGUCAGGCAGCCUGGCUUUGAGGGGAUCAGGAGCAAGGAAGUUUGAUUUCCCUGACUGAGAAGGAGAAAGGAGGAUCUGAGCGGUAAGAAUAUCAGCAUCCAUGCCAACAUAGAAGACCAUUUACCAUGUGCCAGCCGCUAUUCUUAAUAGUUAGCGAACAGACAUUCACUUACAGGAUGUAAGUACCACUAUAAUUCCCAUGUUCUAGGUGAGGGUUGGGGGCACAUAGUUUAAAUUACUUGUUCUGGAAUGUGGUAGAGCCACAGAAGUAAUGGCAAGAACACGGCUCCACAGAGCAAUAAGGCUGUAGAGUAGAAGCCUCACUUUCAAUGUCUCCUUAUGUAGAAAGAUGGGAGAUGGGCAGACUCCCUGGGCUGAACAGCACAAGCCCCUAGCGCGUGGAGCAUUUAUGGCUUCUGUUGUGGAAGGAGAACUAGAGGAGAGAGAGCAAAAGAAAAGGGUGAGCCAAGGGAGAGGAAUGCUGAGCACAGAAGAGCUUGGCUACGCCCCCACAUAGGGACCCUGUCUUGGUUUUUCUGGGUCUCUAGAAUUUAGCUCCAUGCCUAGAGAGUAGUGUAUUCUCAAAACACCUGCCAUGAAUUGAAUAGAAAGGUGAGGACAGCAUUUUACCAAGACCUGGCCUACAGAUUAAGACUGGAAGAGAAAUGCAAAGCAAAUCCUCCCCAACUGUUCGUGUAAUUGAGGGCAUGGUUAUUUAAGGUUGUCCGAUCUAUAAAAAACCUCUCAAAGAUCUCAGGCAUUUUUUUGAAUUCUUUAAGGAGAGCUCUCGAAAAACAUUUCAGGAGAAUCUGAUGAUGGAGAUGAGAUAUUUGAAACAAAUGAGAAGAUCUGAUCCUAUUCGUACUCUUCGGUUUGCUGCUUGAAAUCCAACCCGGUGGACCCAAAUGUCCACCCAGGGACAGUUCUCAUAUCAUAUUUCAAAGGGGUUGGGGGUCUUCGCCAAAUGCCCAUCACAGAAAUUGCUUUGAUUGGUCAAUCUCUGUGGAGGAAAGGGGGGAACUCAAAAGUCAGUGUGGAGGCUUUCCUUUCAUUUCUCAGGUUAACUAUUUUGGUAAACAGCAUUAACUCUUCCAACGCCGUGCCAAUAUUGUGAUGGGUAAGCUAAAGAUGUGAGUGUAUCAAUUAACCAAAUUGCCCUACUUCUGUGAAUAAAAGGUGCUUGCCUUUCUAAAUCUGCCAAGUUAACACAAUGUCUUAAAUACAGAAAAUUUGAAACAUAAACAGUCACUACCUCUGUGACACUGAUGUUUUUCCUGGAAGAUUCUUGUUUAAAAGAUUGCUAGCAUGAAAAGAGCAUCUCCCCCCCACNCCCCCCCCCCCCCCCCCCCCCCCCCCGCUUAAGCUCUUCCUCAAGGGAAUCAAUCACAACAAUGUGUUGAGUAUCUUGAUAGCAGAUAAUCAUUCUUUCAGAAGGUGUAACUCUGACUAGGGUUUCUCAACCUUGGCUCUAGCGAUCUUGGCCUGACUAAUUCUGUGUCGAGGGGGUGGUCCUCGGUUUUGGAUGUUGAGCAGCAUUCCUGACCUCUACCCAUUAAUGCCAAUAGCACCCUUCCCCCAGUGGUUACCAUUAAAAAUGUCUUCAGAUAUUGCCAUAUACCUCUAAGGGGGAAGAAAUCACUCCCAAUUGAGAAACACUGCUUUAAAUCCAUGGAGUAGAUUGUAUGUCACAGUGUAGGCCAUCUGUGACAAGCAUUCCCAGAUCUUAGUGGCUUGGGACUGUAAAAAUUUAUUUAUUUUUUGCUGUUAUCAGAGUACAGUCUGGGUCAUUAUGUUGGGAAAAGGCCUCAUGUUCCAGGUUAGGGACUCCUGUCUUCCAGUUGCUGAGACCACAUUUCACUUGGCCAGAAUUUAUUUUUAUUUAUUUUUUUUUUUAAAUUUUUUUUCAACGUUUUUAUUUUAUUUUUGGGACAGAGAGAGACAGAGCAUGAACGGGGGAGGGGCAGAGAGAGAGGGAGACACAGAAUCGGAAACAGGCUCCAGGCUCUGAGCCAUCAGCCCAGAGCCCGACGCGGGGCUCGAACUCAAGGAACUCACGGACCGCGAGAUCGUGACCUGGCCGAAGUCGGACGCUUAACCGACUGCGCCACCCAGGCGCCCCUCACUUGGCCAGAAUUUAAUCAUGAGGACCCAUCUAAGUGCCAUGAAGGCUGGGAAGCAUAGUCUAGUUUCGUGCCAAAGCAGGAAAGUAAAAAGGUUGGGUGAAUAAUAGCCAUUCUCUGCCAGACAGAUUAUAAUAAGAUAAAACCAAAUCAUGACAAACAGACCAAUGUGAUGGCAUUGGAAGGGACCCUCAUAAAACAUCAUCAGAAUGAUUUACUUCCAAUUAAGGAAGCCAGUGUAUAGGGUUAUUGGGUUCUCAAACACCACAUAAAGAUAGGAAUGGGCAACCCCAAAGGCAGAGGCUCUGCUGAGGUCUUUAGUGAGGGUUUGCGGGGAGGACAUGAAGACUUUUCUUGUCCCAUGUUCUCUGGAUCUUUCAAGCCCAUCCGAGAUCUGUCAGGGUUAUACCAAAAGGGGUGCCUCUGAUCUGCUAUCUCUGGGUUCACAUGAAACUCAGGGAAACAAUCAGGAAACAGGAACAAAAUAAACCCGUGGCUCCAAUUCAGGGAAGUCAGCUAGGAUGGCUGUUUCACACCAGCGCUGGGAAGGUGGUGAAUGAGCGCAGAUUCAGAUUCUGGCUUCGGAAGCAGCUGUCCAUGAGACCUUCAGAAAUCUUCAGUUAAAAACAGCCUCAGUUUUUUGAUUUGUAAAAGGACAAUGCUAUGCUUUCAAGAUGGUUCUUGAGAUUAGUUGAACAAAUGCAUAUAAAACACCUAGUGAAUGUAGAGCCUGGCACAUCAUUUUUUUCAAUUUACUUCUUGCUUCCCUGGAACCAUAGGUUAUACUGUCUGCAGGUUGACAGACACACAGACAUCAUCAGAAAGAGAAGGAAGCAGAGGGAAGCCAGAGUCAGGAACCAGAACAAAGGAAGUGAAUAGAAACAGACUUGGAGACUUCAGCACAGUUUCGUAGAGAUUUAUGGAAUAUUGGUUUUAAUUGGAAGUAAACUCCAAGAAAGAAUAACCUCAUGAGCUUUGUCUGGAUUGUCUUUGGUUGGUUCACUCUGUCCCUUUUUGGCCCGUCCCUAUCCCUCCUAGAAGACAAGCAGUGACAAGAUGCUAAGACUGGUUUGUCCCGGAUAAGGUUAACAAGCACAUUUUCUCUCCAGACUUUUCUAACUCUGAAUAGCUCCAGAGCAAAAUUCGUAGCAGUUCUUUAAAUCUUUUCAUAGUGAUAUAAUAAAGAGUGCUACCACAUAUUGGGUGUCUAUCAUCAUCUUUAUGAUGUGUCUACUGAAGUUCUUAUAGCUCUUCAGGAGAAGAGUUUACAGGUGUGGAGUCUGAGACCUAAAGAGAUUAAGUGAUUGGUCCGAGGCCACGUUCCUGCGAUUUGAAUCCAGGUUUUCUGACAUCAAAGCCUGCCUUUCUCUCUCUCGAAGGGGUUUCCUGCCUAUUGCAGGGCACGCGUGGUGUUGCCUAAGGUCUGACGUUCUUCUUUUUACCUCCAACAUGUUCGUAUCCUCUGCCUGCCUGUCAGAUUACAUGCCCUGGGAACCCUCGCUGAUGGAGGCAAGCUGGCCUGUGCAAUUCUUGGGGAGGGCUUAACUGUUUAAGCCAUGAGAGUACCAGGCCUUUAAAUAAGAGACACUCAGUAUUUUCAGCAACUUAAAUACAAGUGAACUUGGGGGGAGAGAAGGGGAGGGUUAUGUGGAGUCGGACAGUGUCUGGGAACUUUCCCAUUUCACCAUUAAUGGUGGCACAUAAUCAAAUUAGCCUUUCAGAACAAUCGGUACUCCGUGGGGUGGCACCAUGGUGUACUGAGGUGCUUCAGAGAUUUUAAUUCUCCCUAACAGCUUCCCACAGUAAAACAGUUACUGAAUUUGAAAGUCAUUGGGAGUAAUUCCAGUAGGCCUCUUUUAUGUACCAUCUUGCAGAGGCUUCUCAAAACCUAGUGGCUACAGAUUGAGUCAUUCUCUGCAUUUAAAGUUGUGGGUAUGAGCACAGAUAGAAAACCGUACAUCUGUCAGUGAUUCACACUUCAUACAACCUCAAGAUUCAAAUUUCUUUUGAAAGGGCUUUUAGUAAUUCAGAUGGAGAAGGCUUCCAGAUUUCAAGUGAUUGUGUUUGGAAAUUGCAAAGGAGGAGACUCCACAGUUCUGUGGACUUACUGUUUUAAUUUAGCAACACUCCCCAUUCCCGUACAGCUCCUGGAAGACAUAUGGUGGUGACAAGGACAGGGCCACGUCUUGGGGGAAAUCUGCUGCACCUUGAGUGAGGUGAUCGAUUCCCCGGUGAGCUCGUUGACUUGCCCAGCUUGUCAGAAACUCCCCCUGUUUCCAAAAGCCGUUUGUCAGGUUGACACAUUCCCCUUGGUGUCACAACCAUUUGGCCCUUUUCACUAGCUUCUUAUCCACUAUGUUUGCAUUUAAUUCAUGCUCUGAUAUGGACUCCCAACCCAGACCCAGUUUCUCAGACCUGUAGGAACUUUGAGCAUUUUUUCUUGCCAUCCCAAGAUAGAAAAGACCAUAUCCCCAUCAGAGGGGGCUUCCAGAAAGAGGAAGGUGGAUGGAGUGAAAUAUCGUAUAUCUAUUCAAGGUACUAAACCAAGGCCUACCAUUUAACCUUGUUAAAGAUUUAAUUAAUCUGUUGAGAAGACAUAUCAGAUACUCUUGUGAGAUACCGUUGAGAAAACCAAUCCUGAAAUCAAAACAAAACAAAACAAAACAAAACAAAACAAAACAAAAUUACAUAAUAGGGUAAAUAUUCAUUUCCUAAGAGGAUUCACAGUGAGACAUCUUCAAUUAAGCCUUUCAAAAGUGGGUUCCAUUAAUGCCUUUACAGUUAGUGAGACUUUUAGGAAACUGUCUCUUACAAGAAAUAAAGUAAAACUAUGCAGUUCAACAUUUUUCCACACGGAGAUUUUUGAAAUAGGGAGAUUUUUUUUUUUUUUUCAGCUGUUCAGAGCUUUCUCCUUAUAAGGCUCUAUCCCAGUCAAGGGGACAUGGUUUCUCCAGUUAAAAAAGAUAUGCUGUUUUUGGAAAUGAUUAAUCAAAAUGCCAGUCCUCAUACCUUUCCAAGAGGCCAUCAUCAUUGUAAGGUGCCACUGUGCAUAACAUUCUGGGAUUAUCUGAAAGGCUAAUUUAAAAGAAAACUCAGAUAUAUACUAGAGUCAAUUUUAAAAGCCACAGCUUUCCUUUCAUUUUUCAAUUAUGAAUUUAUCAUAAAGGAAACAAUGGGUCUACUGUUUCAUUCUGCAAAUUGCCAGGAAUUACUUUUGAAGGUAAGUAGGUCACUGAUAGGUUAUCCAGCCUGGUUUCAAUUAUUACAGCUAUUUAAGUAACAAUUACUAUUCUAAUUCCACUAGAACUAUGCUGGGGAAAGAGAAGAAUGAGUAACAGUUCAGGCGCACAUACACGUAUUUCUUAGAUUGUUUUAGAGACUAGAAGAUGGUAAGUGAAUCUGCUUUUACUUACUGUCAACAACUUCUGUCUGUGCAAUCAGAAUUCGAGAGUAUGGGUACAAGAAAGAGAGGGCUGCCUGCGUUCAAAUUUGGAGCCUCUACAAACUCACUUGUAGAUGGCCCAGUCUUGCUUUUCUCACAGAAUCCUAAACAUAAUGUGGUGCCUGAGUGGCUCGGUUGGUUAAGUGUCAGACUUUUGAUUUCAGCUCUGGUCAUGAUUUCACAGUUCCUGAGAUCAAGCCCUGAAUUGGGCUCUACACUGACAGUGCAGAGCCUGAUUGGGAUUCUCUCUCUCUUCUCUCUGCCUUUCCCCUGUUUGCAUGCAUGUGCGUUCUCUCUCUCUCUCAAAAUAAAUUAAAAAAAAAAAAAACAUUCAGGGUAUUUAGCUCUGUCUAGCGAAGGUCAGAUUAUUUGCAGGGGUCCGGGGUGGGUGUGGGUUUUGUAUUAGAGCUCACUCAUGGCUUGUCUUUGUAUUUUUGUCAUCUUUUCUCUUGCCCUAGAAAUGUUAGAGCCAACAGAGUAAAUUGAAUCUGAUGGUGGACAUUCUGCUGCUUCUUGGAAGGUUAAUCUUUACAUAAUUGGGAUUCCAAGCCCCCAAACCAAGGAAAGAUAAGGAAACCACACUAGGGGGCAUGCUGGGCUCAAGUCUCCUCUGGUAGUGAAAAUAUUGCCUUAGAAUGACUACUGCUAAUAAAAUUGAAGAAACAAAACUUACAUUCUUAUGACUAAGGUAUGCACAAUUUGAUUUAAAUUUAAUUUCUGGCAGUUGCUAGUUUUCAGUUUGGAAUAGUCCCUCACUGUGGAAGCUGCCAAUUUGAAGGAUGUUUCAGAACUUCUAUAUUUCCUAAGCUCAUUGUAGAUGCCAAAUAAAAUGUUGGUUAAAUGAAUAAAUAGUCUUCCAAGAAAGACA